GGCUCAGGAUGAACGCUGGCGGCGUGCUUAACACAUGCAAGUCGAACGAUGAACCUCACUUGUGGGGGGAUUAGUGGCGAACGGGUGAGUAACACGUGAGUAACCUGCCCUUGACUCUGGGAUAAGCCUGGGAAACCGGGUCUAAUACUGGAUACGACCUUCCCGCGCAUGCGGUGUUGGUGGAAAGCUUUUGCGGUUUUGGAUGGACUCGCGGCCUAUCAGCUUGUUGGUGGGGUAAUGGCCUACCAAGGCGACGACGGGUAGCCGGCCUGAGAGGGUGACCGGCCACACUGGGACUGAGACACGGCCCAGACUCCUACGGGAGGCAGCAGUGGGGAAUAUUGCACAAUGGGCGCAAGCCUGAUGCAGCGACGCCGCGUGAGGGAUGAAGGCCUUCGGGUUGUAAACCUCUUUCAGUAGGGAAGAAGCCGGUC
rnacentral:rRNA from 1 species